GUGGGGAAUAUUGGACAAUGGGCGAAAGCCUGAUCCAGCCAUGCCGCGUGUGUGAAGAAGGUCUUCGGAUUGUAAAGCACUUUAAGUUGGGAGGAAGGGCAGUAAGUUAAUACCUUGCUGUUUUGACGUUACCGACAGAAUAAGCACCGGCUAACUUCGUGCGAGCAGCCGCGGUAAUACGAAGGGUGCAAGCGUUAAUCGGAAUUACUGGGCGUAAAGCGCGCGUAGGUGGUUUUGUAAGUUGGAGGUGAAAUCCCCGGGCUCAACCUGGGAACUGCCUCCAAAACUGCAUGACUAGAGUACGGUAGAGGGUAGUGGAAUUUCCUGUGUAGCGGUGAAAUGCGUAGAUAUAGGAAGGAACACCAGUGGCGAAGGCGACUACCUGGACUGAUACUGACACUGAGGUGCGAAAGCGUGGGGAGCAAACAGGAUUAGAUACCCGAGUAGUCC
rnacentral:rRNA from 1 species